rnacentral:rRNA from 1 species
GGUAGGGGAGCGUUCUGUAAGCCUGUGAAGGUGGCCUGUGAGGGUUGCUGGAGGUAUCAGAAGUGCGAAUGCUGACAUAAGUAACGAUAAAGCGGGUGAAAAGCCCGCUCGCCGGAAGACCAAGGGUGUCAAACGGGGUGGUGAGACGUAACAGGGUUGACAGACCGGCCACAAAGAAACCGGCGAGCGCGAACGCUCCCCCGCUACGCCCCACCAUAAUAUGGACGUAACUCGGUUCAUUACGGACACAAAA